rnacentral:rRNA from 1 species
AGAGCGAACGCUGGCGGCAGGCCUAACACAUGCAAGUCGAGCGCCGUAGCAAUACGGAGCGGCAGACGGGAGAGUAACACGUGGGAACGUACCCUUCAGUUCGGAACAACCCAGGGAAACUUGGGCUAAUACCGAAUACGUCCGUAAGGAGAAAGAUUUAUCGCUGAAGGAUCGGCCCGCGUCUGAUUAGCUUGUUGGUGAGGUAAUGGCUCACCAAGGCUACGAUCAGUAGCUGGUCUGAGAGGAUGAUCAGCCUCACUGGGACUGAGACACGGCCCAGACUCCUACGGGAGGCAGCAGUGGGGAAUAUUGGACAAUGGGCGCAAGCCUGAUCCAGCCAUGCCGCGUGGGUGAUGAAGACCCUAGGGUUGUAAAGCCCUUUCGGCGGGGAAGAGUAAUGACGGUACCCGCAGAAGAAGCCCGGCUAACUUCGCGCCAGCAGCCGC